rnacentral:rRNA from 1 species
UACGUAGGGUGCAAGCGUUGUCCGGAAUUAUUGGGCGUAAAGAGCUCGUAGGCGGUCUGUCGCGUCGGCUGUGAAAACCCGGAGCUCAACUCCGGGCCUGCAGUCGAUACGGGCAGACUGGAGUUCGGCAGGGGAGACUGGAAUUCCUGGUGUAGCGGUGAAAUGCGUAGAUAUUGGGAGGAACACCGGUGGCGAAGGCGGCCCUCUGGACCCGGGUACUGACGCUGAUGCGCGAAAGCGUGGGUAGCAAACGGG